rnacentral:rRNA from 1 species
GAUGAACGCUGGCGGCGUGCCUAAUACAUGCAAGUCGAGCGAACGGACGGGAAGCUUGCCUCUCUGAUGUUAGAGGCGGAAAGGUGAGUAUAACGUGGAUAAAAUAUCUAUAAGACUUGGAUAAAUUCGGGCAACCGGAGCUAUUACAGGAUGAUUUUUUGCACCGCAUGGUUCAAAAGUGAAAGAAGGUCUUGCUGUCACUUAUAGAUGGAUCCGCGCUGCAUUAGCUAGUUGGUAAGGUAACGGCUUACCAAGGCAAAGAUGCAUAGCGGAUCUGAGAGGGUGUUCGGCCGUGCUGGGACUGAGACACGGUGCAGACUGCUACGGGAGGCAGCAGGAGGGAGUCGUCCGCGAUGGGCGAAAGCCGGACGGAGCAACGUCGCGUGAGUGAUGGUGGUCGACGGAUCGUUGAGCGCUGUUAUUAUGGAAGAACAUAAGUGUAAGUUACUGGUCACAUCUUGACGUGUCCGAAUCAGAAAGCCACGGCUAACUACGUG